UGGGGAAUAUUGCACAAUGGGCGCAAGCCUGAUGCAGCCAUGCCGCGUGUAUGAAGAAGGCCUUCGGGUUGUAAAGUACUUUCAGCGGGGAGGAAGGCGAUAAGGUUAAUAACCUCAUCGAUUGACGUUACCCGCAGAAGAAGCACCGGCUAACUCCGUGCCAGCAGCCGCGGUAAUACGGAGGGUGCAAGCGUUAAUCGGAAUUACUGGGCGUAAAGCGCACGCAGGCGGUCUGUCAAGUCGGAUGUGAAAUCCCCGGGCUCAACCUGGGAACUGCAUUCGAAACUGGCAGGCUAGAGUCUUGUAGAGGGGGGUAGAAUUCCAGGUGUAGCGGUGAAAUGCGUAGAGAUCUGGAGGAAUACCGGUAGCGAAGGCGGCCCCCUGGACAAAGACUGACGCUCAGGUGCGAAAGCGUGGGGAGCAAACAGG
rnacentral:rRNA from 1 species